GAUGAACGCUGGCGGCGUGCCUAAUACAUGCAAGUCGAGCGAACAGAUGAGGAGCUUGCUCCUCUGACGUUAGCGGCGGACGGGUGAGUAACACGUGGAUAACCUACCUAUAAGACUGGGAUAACUUCGGGAAACCGGAGCUAAUACCGGAUAAUAUAUUGAACCGCAUGGUUCAAUAGUGAAAGACGGUUUUGCUGUCACUUAUAGAUGGAUCCGCGCCGCAUUAGCUAGUUGGUAAGGUAACGGCUUACCAAGGCAACGAUGCGUAGCCGACCUGAGAGGGUGAUCGGACACAGUGAAAUAGAGACAGGGCCGAGACCCAGACGGGGGGCAGAAGUCGAGAAUUGUCCGAAAGGGGGGAAGGCCGUACAGAGAAACGACGGGUGAGAAAUGAAGGUUUUCGGAUCGUAAAACUUUGUUAUUGGGGAAAAAAAAAUGUGUAAGUACCUAGACACGUUGAGACGGCCACCAAAAAGAAAGCCACGGCUACUUAUG
rnacentral:rRNA from 1 species